rnacentral:rRNA from 1 species
AAUGAACGUUGGCGGCAUGGAUUAGGCAUGCAAGUCGAGCGAGAAGUGUAGCAAUACACGGAAAGCGGCGGAAGGGAGAGUAAUACGUGGGAAUCUGCCCUUAGACCUGGGAUAGCUGCGGGAAACUGCAAUUAAUACUAGAUAACGUCUCCGGACCAAAGGUGUGAUUCCACCUGGGGAGCGGCCUACAUCCUAUUAGCUAGUUGGCGAGGUAAUGGCUCACCAAGGCGAAGAUGGGUAGCAGGUGUGAGAGCACGACCUGCGUCACUGGGACUGAGACACUGCCCAGACACCUACGGGUGGCUGCAGCCGAGAAUCUUCGGCAAUGGGCGAAAGCCUGACCGAGCGACGCCGCGUGUGGGAUGAAGGCCUUCGGGUUGUAAACCACUGUCGGAGGGGAUGAAGUGUUAGUGGGUUCUCCCAUUAACUUGACUGAUCCUCGGAGGAAGGGUGGGCUAAGUUCGUGCCAGCCGCCGCGGUAAAAC